CUUAAGCGAAAGUUUAAGCAAAUGUGUUAGUUUAAUCUUUUUGUUAUCUUAUUUGCACAAUUCCAGUAAUUCAAAAUGUUUUCUUGUAAAGACUAUGUUUUUUUCUCUUCUUUUAGUUUAUAAAAUAUAUUUAGUUAGGGGAGCUAUAUGUAAUUUAAUUAUGCAUUUAUUUAAAACCAAUAGAUUUUUAUUUUCAUUUAAUUUCUCCAUUUUUCAACAUAUUGAAACCAAACUUAAGAACAUACAUACACUGAAAAGUCUCUAAGUGAAGGAACAAUGGGUUGAUGAUCUUGAGUUUUUGCUUUGGCUAAUUGUUGUUGUUUCUUUUUGAGAUUAAUUAUAAAGUUAAAAUUAUUUUUUUAUAUGUAUGCUAAUGUUGAAUUUUAUUUUUUUUUAAUUUCAACUCAAAUUAUGGUUUAGUUGAUGUUGGUUUACAUUUGUGAUCAUAUGUUGUGGGUGGUAAAUCAAUGAUGAAAAAGAGAUAGCCACACACUUAAGAGAUGAAAUGUUGAAAAGAAAUCCUAAUAUUUGUAAAUAUGAAACACCUUGUUUUGAUGCUAGAGAAGAAAUAACAAUUAUUCAUUGUGAUUUUUAACUGUUAAAAAGCUUAUGGUUGGUGAAGGUGUUCAAUGGAAGAUAUUAUUUGGUGGGUGAAAGUAGGAGGGCAGCCCCUACUAGAGAGACAUGACACAUACAUUUUCAAGGCUGGAUAUAUAGCUACUUGCUAGUUAGGGGUGGCAGAAGAAAGUUUUGAAUCCCUGCAGGCAGGAUUUUUAUAUUGCAAAAGUUAUGGAGAUUGAGAAUGUAAACGCUGGAGUGAUUGUGGCACCAAAUUAGAUAGAGGCAACAGGCCAAAAGGUAAACAAAGGCUUCACAAUUUUGGGAGAUUGUUUACAGGCAUAAAUAUAUUUAUGAAUCAAAAAGGUGUUUAAAAACAGCACAAUCAAUCUUCUGUUUCACAGGCAUAUAUAUAUGCAAAAAGAAUAGUAUGAAUAUAUAUAUAUUU